GCCCGGCCCUAAAUCUUGAUGCUUUUCCCCACUAGAGCAUCCGCCUGAGGACUACGAGCACAAACGCUUAAAACUCUAAGGACUUGGCGGUGCCUCAAACCCACCUAGAGGAGCCUGUCCUGUAAUCGACAACCCACGAUACACCCAACCACUUUUUGCCAAAACAGCCUACAUACCGCCGUCGCCAGCUCACCUCUCCUGAGAGCACAACAGUGAGCAUAAUCGCCCUAACCCGCUAGUAAGACAGGUCAAGGUAUAGCCUAUAAAGUGGGAGAGAUGGGCUACAUUUUCUAAUUUAGAAAAUCUUAACGGAAAGGAGCAUGAAACAGCUCCUAGAAGGCGGAUUUAGCAGUAAAGCAGGAUAAUAAUGCCCUCUUUAAACUGGCUCUGAGGCAC
rnacentral:rRNA from 1 species